rnacentral:rRNA from 1 species
AGAGUUUGAUCAUGGCUCAGAUUGAACGCUGGCGGCAGGCCUAACACAUGCAAGUCGAGCGGUAGCACAGAGAGCUUGCUCUCGGGUGACGAGCGGCGGACGGGUGAGUAAUGUCUGGGAAACUGCCUGAUGGAGGGGGAUAACUACUGGAAACGGUAGCUAAUACCGCAUAAUGUCGCAAGACCAAAGUGGGGGACCUUCGGGCCUCAUGCCAUCAGAUGUGCCCAGAUGGGAUUAGCUAGUAGGUGGGGUAACGGCUCACCUAGGCGACGAUCCCUAGCUGGUCUGAGAGGAUGACCAGCCACACUGGAACUGAGACACGGUCCAGACUCCUACGGGAGGCAGCAGUGGGGAAUAUUGCACAAUGGGCGCAAGCCUGAUGCAGCCAUGCCGCGUGUGUGAAGAAGGCCUUCGGGUUGUAAAGCACUUUCAGCGGGGAGGAAGGCGAUAAGGUUAAUAACCUUGUCGAUUGACGUUACCCGCAGAAGAAGCACCGGCUAACUCCGUGCCAGCAGCCGCGGUAAUACGGAGGGUGCAAGCGUUAAUCGGAAUUACUGGGCGUAAAGCGCACGCAGGCGGUCUGUCAAGUCGGAUGUGAAAUCCCCGGGCUCAACCUGGGAACUGCAUUCGAAACUGGCAGGCUAGAGUCUUGUAGAGGGGGGUAGAAUUCCAGGUGUAGCGGUGAAAUGCGUAGAGAUCUGGAGGAAUACCGGUGGCGAAGGCGGCCCCCUGGACAAAGACUGACGCUCAGGUGCGAAAGCGUGGGGAGCAAACAGGAUUAGAUACCCUGGUAGUCCACGCCGUAAACGAUGUCGAUUUGGAGGUUGUGCCCUUGAGGCGUGGCUUCCGGAGCUAACGCGUUAAAUCGACCGCCUGGGGAGUACGGCCGCAAGGUUAAAACUCAAAUGAAUUGACGGGGGCCCGCACAAGCGGUGGAGCAUGUGGUUUAAUUCGAUGCAACGCGAAGAACCUUACCUGGUCUUGACAUCCACAGAACUUUCCAGAGAUGGAUUGGUGCCUUCGGGAACUGUGAGACAGGUGCUGCAUGGCUGUCGUCAGCUCGUGUUGUGAAAUGUUGGGUUAAGUCCCGCAACGAGCGCAACCCUUAUCCUUUGUUGCCAGCGGUCCGGCCGGGAACUCAAAGGAGACUGCCAGUGAUAAACUGGAGGAAGGUGGGGAUGACGUCAAGUCAUCAUGGCCCUUACGACCAGGGCUACACACGUGCUACAAUGGCAUAUACAAAGAGAAGCGACCUCGCGAGAGCAAGCGGACCUCAUAAAGUAUGUCGUAGUCCGGAUUGGAGUCUGCAACUCGACUCCAUGAAGUCGGAAUCGCUAGUAAUCGUAGAUCAGAAUGCUACGGUGAAUACGUUCCCGGGCCUUGUACACACCGUCCGUCACACCAUGGGAGUGGGUUGCAAAAGAAGUAGGUAGCUUAACCUUCGGGAGGGCGCUUACCACUUUGUGAUUCAUGACUGGGGUGAAGUCGUAACAAGGUAACCGUAGGGGAACCUGCGGUUGGAUCACCUCCUU